UAGAGGAAGUAAAAGUCGUAACAAGGUUUCCGUAGGUUGACAGCAGUUUUGCCUACUAGAGCGGCCCAGCCGCUAGUCUCUCCGGAGGCGACACGCUCAAUUUGCGGGAAGGCCCUCUAUUCAGAGGGACAUCCGCAACCAACCGCCCUACCCGGCGGUCGGUUCAGAGGCUUGAUGAGUGUGGGUCUGGUGUAGCCAGGCUUAAGAUAAAGUCCGUACCUGCUGUAAACUCCAGGUGUAAAGCGGAACCUGCGGAAGGAUCAUUAAAGAAAUGGCGGCCCUCGUGGUCCCGUUUUCACCCUGUGCAUACGAUAUUCUAGUUGCUUCGGCCAGCCGCAAGGCCGGCCAGAAGACCUGAAACUCUUGAAUUUUUGCCGUCUGAGUACUAUAUAAUAGUUAAAACUUUCAACAACGGAUCUCUUGGUUCUGGCAUCGAUGAAGAACGCAGCGAAAUGCGAUAAGUAAUGUGAAUUGCAGAAUUCAGUGAAUCAUCGAAUCUUUGAACGCACAUUGCGCCCUCUGGUAUUCCGGGGGGCAUGCCUGUUCGAGCGUCAUUACAACCCUCAAGCUCUGCUUGGUAUUGGGCUUCGCCUCUCCGGAGGCCGGCCUCAAAUUCAGUGGCGGUUCCGUCCGGUCUCAAGCGCAGUAAUGCUCGUCGCUUGCUAGGCUUGGGCGGCGGCUUGCCAUCUACCCCCAAUUUUACAAAGGUUGACCUCGGAUCAGGUAGGGAUACCCGCUGAACUUAAGCAUAUCAUA
rnacentral:rRNA from 1 species